rnacentral:rRNA from 1 species
AACGAACGCUGGCGGCAUGCCUAACACAUGCAAGUCGAACGAAGGCUUCGGACGUAGUGGCGCACGGGUGCGUAACGCGUGGGAAUCUGCCCUUAGCUUCGGAAUAACAGUUAGAAAUGACUGCUAAUACCGGAUGAUGUCGCAAGACAAAAGAUUUAUCGGCAAAGGAUGAGCCCGCGUAGGAUUAGCUGGUUGGGGGGGUAAAGGCCUACCAAGGCGACGAUCCUUAGCUGGUCUGAGAGGAUGAUCAGCCACACUGGGACUGAGACACGGCCCAGACUCCUACGGGAGGCAGCAGUGGGGAAUCUUGGACAAUGGGCGAGGGCCUGAUCCAGCAAUGCCGCGUGAGUGAUGAAGUCCUUAGGGUUGUAAAGCUCUUUUACCCGGGAUGAUAAUGACAGUACCGGGAGAAUAAGCUCCGGCUAACUCCGUG